rnacentral:rRNA from 1 species
AGAGCGAACGCUGGCGGCAGGCCUAACACAUGCAAGUCGAGCGCGUGUAGCAAUACACGAGCGGCAGACGGGAGAGUAACACGUGGGAACGCGCCCUUCGGUUCGGAAUAACUCAGGGAAACUUGAGCUAAUACCGGAUACGCCCUUACGGGGAAAGAUUUAUUGCCGAAGGAACGGCCCGCGUCCGAUUAGCUUGUUGGUGAGGUAAUGGCUCACCAAGGCGACGAUCGGUAGCUGGUCUGAGAGGAUGACCAGCCUCACUGGGACUGAGACACGGCCCAGACUCCUACGGGAGGCAGCAGUGGGAAUAUUGGACAAUGGGCGCAAGCCUGAUCCAGCCAUGCCGCGUGGAUGAUGAAGGCCUUAGGGUUGUAAAGUCCUUUUAACGGGGAAGAUAAUGACGGUACCCGUAGAAUAAGCCCGGCUAACUUCGUGCCAGCAGCCGC